GCAGGCCUAACACAUGCAAGUCGAGCGGAUGAAGAGAGCUUGCUCUCUGAUUCAGCGGCGGACGGGUGAGUAAUGCCUAGGAAUCUGCCUGGUAGUGGGGGACAACGUCUCGAAAGGGACGCUAAUACCGCAUACGUCCUACGGGAGAAAGCAGGGGACCUUCGGGCCUUGCGCUAUCAGAUGAGCCUAGGUCGGAUUAGCUAGUUGGUGAGGUAAUGGCUCACCAAGGCGACGAUCCGUAACUGGUCUGAGAGGAUGAUCAGUCACACUGGAACUGAGACACGGUCCAGACUCCUACGGGAGGCAGCAGUGGGGAAUAUUGGACAAUGGGCGAAAGCCUGAUCCAGCCAUGCCGCGUGUGUGAAGAAGGUCUUCGGAUUGUAAAGCACUUUAAGUUGGGAGGAAGGGUUGUAAAUUAAUACUCUGCAAUUUUGACGUUACCGACAGAAUAAGCACCGGCUAACUCUGUGCCAGCAGCCGCGGUAAUACAGAGGGUGCAAGCGUUAAUCGGAAUUACUGGGCGUAAAGCGCGCGUAGGUGGUUUGUUAAGUUGGAUGUGAAAGCCCCGGGCUCAACCUGGGAACUGCAUUCAAAACUGACAAGCUAGAGUAUGGUAGAGGGUGGUGGAAUUUCCUGUGUAGCGGUGAAAUGCGUAGAUAUAGGAAGGAACACCAGUGGCGAAGGCGA
rnacentral:rRNA from 1 species